UCUGAAUAAUCCCCAACUUGACUAUAUAUUUGUAUCUAAAUAUUUGCACAUUUCCCAACUUGACUAUUAUCCCCUCCAGUCCCCAAACUCCAAUAUUUUCGUUCAUUCUAAGAAAUGUGACACUAUCAUCCAAACCCCCAUGUAAAUGCAUCUUUAAACUGCAUUGACUCCUUGUCCAAGUCCUGAAUAAGGCCAUAUGAACCACAUUCAAAGCACUAAAUUACCUUUCCCCGAAGCUCCGAUCUGAUCUACCAGCACAAUAGUGGUCAACUGAAACCAUACUCACCAUCUCAGGGGGUGCUGAGAUCAUCAACCACUGACCUCCACACCAUCCUCAAAACCAGCAGUCCUCUAUUGGAGGCAGAUUGGUCAGUGCUCCUGUAUGGCACCAACAUUGUGGAUUUUCAUCCAAUACUUCUGGACUAUGAGAACAUUCUUUGGACAAUAAAAUUAGGCCCAAGACAUAAAGUCGCCUGAAAGCUGUGUAGCAAUCAUUCCAUUGCUGACCCAUAGGAUGGUAAUCAAAUACAUGAUUGGCUUAAUCUAGAAUCAUGGAUACCUUUCAUGUGAGUACUCACACACCAGAUUUGUUUUACAUUCCUCAGAAGGAAGAUACCUCAAUAUCUGGAAGCACUGUCUCAUGUACAAUUGUUAAUGCUAUCUCUGAAAUGUUCAGUCAGUGAGCAUUAUGGGUAAUUAUACUACAUACGUACAUCAAAUACUUUAUGAUAGCAUCAUCUCCUGUAGUAACAGGGCCAUUCCAAACACAAUAAAUGUGAAAAUGAUCAAAGAUACAAAAUAUUGCUAAAGUGAAGAAAAUCAGCUCAAAAUUAUAUGAGGAAAUGCCCCUGCAGCAGGGAGGCUUACGGUAUUAUAAUAUAUUGUAGAUAACAUUAAUAUAAUUUGUAUUUACAGUAUCAGUACACAUACAAAAGUAUAUGCUAGGGAUUGAUCUACACUGAGUGAACAAAACAUUAAGAACACCUUCCCAUUGAGUUUCCCCCCUUGGUGGUGGACCAUUGUUGAAAAACCCAACAACAUGGCAGUUCUUGACACAAACCGGUGCUUCUGGCACCUACUACCAUACUCUGUUCAAAGGGACUUAAAUCUUUGGUCUUGCCCAUUCACCCUCUGAAUGACACACAUACACAAUCCAUGUCUCAAUUGUCUACAAAUCAAUCUUUAACCUGUCUCCUCCCCUACAUCUACACUGAGAAGAAGAUUUAACAAUUAAUAUCAAUAAGGGAUAAUAGCUUUCACCUGAUUAGUCUAUGUCACAGAAAGAGAAGGUGUUCUUAAUAAUGUUUAAUACACUCAGUGUAUGUGUCAAUUAUGUUAUAGAUUCCAAGUGGUUGAGGAUUUUUUUAGGAAUGACUAUAUGCUCUAUAUUAUACCUGCAGAUCAUCACAGCAGCCAAAGUUGCUGUGUAGAGAGAGGAGAUCCUCCGAGCAUCAUGCCUCAUCCCUGCACAGAGGGAGGGGAUUCUCCCAGCAGCUAGCAUCACUGCACAGAGGGAGGGGAUCCUCCGAACAGCCAGUGUCCCUGUACAGAGGGAGGGGAUUCUCCCAGCAGCUAGCAUCACUGCACAGAGGGAGGGGAUCCUCCGAACAGCCAGUGUCCCUGUACAGAGAUGUCCGACUUAGAUAUGUUGAGCAUCCUGCUAUGAUGUCUAUCACGAAGCCGGAACACUCCGAGGCCAACCCUCAGUGCCAGACUGGCAGCCGGCCGGUGGCUGAGCCCGAGACCCCUGCUGUUCACAAUAACAGUGGAGGUUGGCUCAGCUGGGCCUUUGGGAGUGGAAGAGUUAAUAAGAAGGAGGUUAAUCUACCCGAGGACAAAGACAGAUCUAACAAGUGUGCACCACCACCUCCAUCGAUGGGGACAUAUGGAUAUCAGGGGAACAUUGGCAGUGUCCCCAAAGGAAUGAAUCCUUACUCUAUGAAAGCAGCAGGUCUAUGGGGCAGUGGAUACCCUACAAUGCAUUGCCAUGAUGGGACCAACUCAAAGCCUCCAAGCCGUGGGCCUGGACUGCUUCCUACAGCUCUCUGGCUUGCGCCCUCCUUCACACUUUGACCUCAUGGCACCAAUGGUUGUGCCACCUGCCACUCUACCCUACUGAGGAUUCGUGUGACACUUUGCCACCCAACAGGGAUCUAGACACCAAUGCACUACAUUACUUUGCACUGAAUUUGACAUUUUUAAAUAAAAUAAGUUGUAGUUCAAAAACA